GAUGAACGCUGGCGGCGUGCCUAACACAUGCAAGUCGAACGAAGCACCUUGCCUGUUUCUUCGGUGGAGAUUUUGGUGGCUGAGUGGCGGACGGGUGAGUAACGCGUGUGUAACCUGCCCUGUACAUGGGGAUAACGGCGCUAAACGGCUGCUAAUACCGCAUACGCGCACUAGAAUACAUCUCCUUGUUUGUAAAACUCCGUUGGGACAGGAUGGGACCGCGUUUGAUUAGCUGGUUGGCAGGGUAACGGCAUAACAAGGCAACGAACACUAGCCGGUCAGAGAGGAAGGACGGACACAUUGGAACUGAGAAACGGUCGAAAAUCCUACGGGAGGGAGGAGUGGGGAAUAUUGCAAAAUGGCGGAAACCAUGAUGCAGCAACGCCGCGUGAGUGAAGAAGUAUUGCGAUAUGUAAAGCUCUAUUAGCAGGGAACAUCAUGACGGUACCUGACCAAGAAGCCACGGCUAACUACGUG
rnacentral:rRNA from 1 species